rnacentral:misc_RNA from 1 species
GAUCAUUAUAGAAAUGACGUGAACUCUUAACGGAGUUCUCUCAAAGUGUUGGAGGGGAAGGCCUGCGCUUAAUUGCGCGGCUGUUUUUAAUCUCCUCCGCCUUUGAUACACACAUUGGAGUUUCUACUUUUUUGUUCUCUUUGGGAGGGUUCUGCUCUCCCAGAGGUAAACACAAACAAUCUUUUAUUAUACUAUUAACACAGUCAAAUGAAUUUUAAAAACAAAAUAUUCAAAACUUUCAACAACGGAUCUCUUGGUUCUCGCAUCGAUGAAGAACGCAGCGAACUGCGAUACGUAAUGUGAAUUGCAGAAUUCCGUGAAUCAUCGAAUCUUUGAACGCACAUUGCGCCCCUUGGUAUUCCGGGGGGCAUGCCUGUUUGAGCGUCAUUUCCCUCUCAAACUUUACGUUUGGUAGUGAGCGAUACUCUACUCUGGAGUUUGCUUGAAAAUGGGAGGCCAUAGGCGAAGCAUUGCUUUCCAAUCCUGCGGCCCUCUGCUUACUUCCCCUUGUGGGUUGUGGCAGGGGAAAGCGGGAGGCGCCUUGCCACGAUAGUCGUAUUAGGUUUUACCGACUCGGCGAAAGUGAAGAGGUUUGCUUUUUAAAAGAAGCAGGCAGCGUCUGGCUUGACAAAAUCUCAAAGUUGAC